CCAAUAGUUAAGUUUAAGAAACCAUACUGUAGUAUGUUUUCUUAAUAUUGAAAUUCCAAUAAUAGGAGUCUCUGAAAG